ensembl:lncRNA novel transcript
CACAGGCAGGGGGAAUGGGGAGGGGACGGUAGCGUCAGCCUACACCCACACGCAGGUUAGAGCCUUGGACGGGGAAGCGGAAAAGGCUUAGCAGCUACUAAUGGGUUCUAUUAAUAGUAGUAGUGUUAGGUAGGCUGCACUGGCUGUAUUCUGCCCCCAUGCCUAUCAUUCCCUCACUCUGUGACCCUGGGCGAGUCUCUUCCUCAUCCUGGUGCUCAGUUGCCUUUUCAUAAAGAAAGGGUUGAUUCCCCAUGAUCUGUUGACUCCUUUGCUUUUGGAUAUUUUGGAAGACGCCCUGCGUCACGGGCUAGUUAAUUGUGAACGUCAGGGAAAGCACCAGAGUAGAGAAGCACUUCCAGGAUCCAGAGCCAGGAGGAUGCUCAAAAGGAAGGGAGGAGAGAUGCCCUUCGGCCAAAGGGAGAGCUUGGAGGUUUCCUGAUAAAAGGUCCUUUGGAAACUUUGAUUCUCUUCUCACCAAGUUGAACGGAGAUGUGUUCCCAUAGUAAGAGUGAGGCCCCUGCAUUUGCUGCCCUCGGUUUUCCCAACUAACACCAGGGCCUCCCCCCUGUACCCCAUUCAUAUGCCUCAGAAGCUGACAAUGACUGUUGGGCUUUUCCAAUGAAUACCAGAACACCAUUUCCUGCAGCCUGAAAAGAAGACAGUAUAAUUGUUUGGCAGCAAGAGGCCAAGCAGGAAACUAGAGAUAUGGUGACGGUAGUGGUCCCAGGGAGGAGCUUUAACCUGAGCACCACCCACAGAAGGCAGACCACCCUCCCAGCCGCAGUGCAAAUGAAUGUUGGCCCCCACCCAGGUCCCCAAGUGCUUUCCCAGUCACGCCCCAGCUGCCAGGUUUUUUUCUCCAGGCCUACUACAGAUGGGUUACCCUGACUCCACCCCCAACACCCUCCAAUGAUUAGAACCACUGACUCCUCCCUCCCAUGCCUGCCUCCAUGGCAGGCCCCUGCAGAAACCAAACAUAGUCACCUUAGACUCUGGCAUACUGAGACCAGGGCUUGAUCCUGGCCCCCUUGCCUCCCUGGCAAUUUAUCAUUUAAUAAAAAUAUUGUUAAAAAA